rnacentral:pre_miRNA from 1 species
AUCACUUGGAGCUCUUGUUAAAAUGCAGAUUCCAUUUCACUAAGUCGGGGAUUUGGCCCAAGAUUCUGCAUUUCUAGCGAGCCCCCAGGUGAUGCUAA